rnacentral:lncRNA from 1 species
AUGAAGGCCAAAAAGUCUAUGACAAUUGUGAUGCUGCAAAAUUCCAAGAAUGCUACAGAAAGGAACACAGACAACUCCAGACCAAGAGCAGGCAAUAAAACGCAGAAACAAGCAUAUCUAGAGAAAAAAAUUGCAUACCAUUUGCAAAAAAUGCAAAGAAAUGAAUACAAAGAAGAAUCAGAGGGAAGUACCUUUGAAAACAAAGGCCAAGAUGUGACAGGUGAGACAAUAAAAGGCAAAAUAGCUAAGUAGAAUAUGCAUAUAUGUAUAUUAAAUAUUAGUGUUUUUUUAAAUCCCCUCCUUAUUUGGAGAGGACACAAGGCCCUUCCAAAAACUAAGUCCUAGGAUCUCAUACUACUUGUGUAAAGCAAGUCCAGGACAGCUCCAGUUUUAAAGUGUGCAUACACAACCACAGUAUGUAUAAUGUACAUUAUAACCAUGACAGGUUCAUUAUUCUUAUAAAGUGGCUCAGUAGACAAGACUGCCAGAAUAUCCUGUUUUUAAAAGGGCCAGUAAUAGGAGACAGCGCGCACAAACAGGUAAGAGCAGGAGAAAGAAAUGGGUUUAACAGGAGG